ACUCCUACGGGAGGCAGCAGUGGGGAAUAUUGCACAAUGGGCGCAAGCCUGAUGCAGCCAUGCCGCGUGUGUGAAGAAGGCCUUCGGGUUGUAAAGCACUUUCAGUCGUGAGGAAGGUAGUGUAGUUAAUAGCUGCAUUAUUUGUACGUUAGCGACAGAAGAAGCACCGGCUAACUCCGUGCCAGCAGCCGCGGUAAGUACGGAGGGUGCGAGCGUUAAUCGGAAUUACGUGGGCGUAAAGCGCAUGCUAGGGUGGUUUGUUAAGUCAGAUGUGAAACGCCGGGGCUCAACCUCGGAAUAGCAUUUGAAACUGGCAGACUAGAGUACUGUAGAGGGGGUAGAAUUUGAGGUGUAGCGGUGAAAUGCGUAGAGAU
rnacentral:rRNA from 1 species